UUUUGCGAUCGAGUUCCUGGCACAUCACUAACAAAUUAACUGAUCAGCUGAUGUGGUCAACUGGCCUCCCGAUAAACUGAUUAACUUUUUUGAGGGAUUCAGUCUCUGAUUAGGCAACGUAAGACCGGGUCAGCAUAAUCUAAACUUUUACAGACUAACAGACGGACUUAGGUUACUGAAAUGGUUCAAAAACUAAUAUAUGACGCAACAGAUUGUCAAUCAACACUCCUAUUAACCCGGCUCUGAGGCUGAUUUUAAAUCAUAGGACCCCAUAAAGUUAAAGGAAAAUAGACUCCCGAUUGUCCAUGUUGGUUUGGGAAUAUAUGUUCCCAGAUAAUCGAAAUCCUGGAUAAUCUCCAAAAUUAAAUAAAAACACUAAAAUCUAACAAAUAUUUAAGUUUAUUUACAGACAUGAAAUGUCUAUAUAGUUAAAGAUUUACUAGCAAAAGUUUAAAGUUUAAUGCUGUGUAUACCAACAAUUUUUAAAGGAUCCCAAUGGAUAGCAAUAACUUUCUUUUGUCGUAAACUAAACGUUUUGGCUACAACUGAAUUAUACCUCAAAUAAUGUAAGUGUUACGCUUUCUUUGGGCGAAGUCCAUAGGGAGACCGUAUUAUAGGCUGGUCAUAUCUGUGCAGUUGAUUCAACUCAGGAACAACUGGAGGAAUUUGAACGAAACUUGAUGUGGAGUUUGGAGUUCGUUUGCGCUAUAUACGGAAACUCACAAUUAUACGUUUAAAUUUCUUACGAGCGGUGAUAAAAUGGCGGCUGAGAAAGUCGUGGGGUGGGCUCAGGAGCGGCUGCAGUGGAAAUUUGUUUGUUGCAAUGGCGACCACUGUUUACUGUUUAUGGUGGUUACUGCGGAAACAAUGAUAAAUACAGACGUAAGCGGCGAUCGUCCAAGAUGUUCGUGUUUGUUAAUACUGCAUUUUAUUUGGAAGUGCUUAGGUUAGAACAGUGGCCAGACUCUGGGAGAAGACCGACAGUCCCGCACACCUGCAGUCCAAGACCAUUCGGAAUGGCAGCCGAGAUCAACAAUUAGGAGCCUCAUUUACAACAGCGCUCGCAAGGACAUUGUUUAUGAAGCAUCUAUAAGUGCAGCUCAGCGUGUUGAAAACCCCGCGACUGAUAUACCAGACGCGCGACCUCAAGAGCGUCCUAACCAAGUAAUCCCACAGAAAAAAGUUGCUUCCACAUCUGACGUAAGGCGAGUGGACGAAUAUUCUCAACCCAUCACCAGGACGCCCACCACGUUGGAAAUUGAUGAAGACAGACAACAAACAAACGAAAUUAAUGACAGUGAGAACACAGACGGCCCUCUUAAUUUAAGCAGAAGAAAUUCAGAAGUUAUGCGACAAAAACUAAUUGAACGCGUUUCAUCUCUAUUUUGAGAUACGUAUGACAAGGACUUGAUGGAAAAUGCGAUCAGUAAUGUGACUGAUAUAGGACAGAGUUCUCAGGACCGCAAUUCACCCUCCUUAGGAGAGCGAGAAGAUGACGGUAAAAAAAUCCGUCUGAGUCUCGACAACGCCGUGGGUUUUGUAUGUAGAGGGUGAGAAUUAAUAGCCGCUGCUGAAGCCGUGCGGAACUUGCAGCAAAUAUAAAGGUGUUCUUGUGACAGGUCGACGAUGAAAUCUAAGUACUCGGUUGUGGAAAAUUCUCAAGACGUUAUAAUUCGUAUCCUCACAGCGGUGAGUACGAAGAUGGCUGCCUUCUGGAUUCUAGAUCCUUGUGGUCUGGUAAAAGUUUACUAAAGUUUCAGAAAUCCUUGCUGCCUCCAUGUGUCUUCGUUUUCCAGAUGGAGGAAACAGUCAGUCAAGGGAAAGACCUUAAGGUGGAGACUGACUUGUAAAAUUUACUCGUAAUGUAACAUUCGCGGCGAGCAUGUUACAUUACACCACAACUGGUGAGGCGUAUCGAAUGUUCGUUUUGAACGCUCGGCUCGACUGUGCUCAUGUGUGCUCCAUUCAUUUCA